UUGUAAUGUAGACCCAGGGGUGUUUAGUAUCUUAAACAGUUUGAAAACUUUUGGAGCAAUUGAAAUUGACAAGAAGUCGAGUAGCAUUCGUUUAAUCAGAGAGAAAGAUAAACAAGCACAGUUACAAGUAACGCCAACGAAGACCAUAGACGACUUGAAGUUGAUUCUACAAAAGACAAUUACAACAGGCGGGGUGAAUAUUAGAGGUUGUUGCAUGUCAGUUAAUGGCAAAUUUUUCUUCACCGACUAUUACUUACGGAAAAGUCUAAAUGUCAUUGCGUCGGAUGGUAAAUUCAAAUUUAAUCUAGAUCCUAGUCAUGGGUAUGACAUAACAAUAAUCAAUGAGAAAACAAUCGCUAUCACAUCUGGAGAUUCUAGUAAGCACAUCGGUAUUGACAUAAUAGACAUUGAGAGCCGAAAGAAAAUCAAAUUCAUCAGCCUUCCUGAUCGUCCAUGGGGAAUCACACGUGAUCAAGACUCGCUGUUUGUUUGUGUUCAAGGACGUGGUAUAUAUAGAGUAAACACCUUGGAUUAUACUACCUCUCACUUGAUCAGUUGUAACUUAUCAGCAUCGACUAAAAUAUCUGUAUUCGCCGAGAAGAUAUACUACAUUAACUGGUUAAAUCACACUGUAGAUUGUUGUGAUCGUAAUGGAUUAAGUGUUUGGAAGUUUAAAGAAGAAUCAGUUUUGGAAAAUCCGAGAGGCCUUACUGUAGAUAAAGAAGGAAACGUGUUUGUUGUUGGAGCAUCGUCGUCGAAUGUUGUCAUGAUAUCAAACGAUGGAAAACACUACAAACAAAUUCUCACCAUAGAUAAUGGUCUACGUGAACCGUCAGCUAUUUUCUUUGAUAAGCAGACCAGGAAACUUCUUGUUGCGAAUAAACAAGAAACUGCUUUCCUUUACAGUGUUACUUAAAGUGAUUGAUAUUAAUAAGUUUUAUAUGACAAUUUGACUUCUUUUGUUCUUUUGUUCUAUGAGGCAUGACAUCUUUCAACCUGUAAAAAUGAUUUUUAACAAUGAUCGAUGGAAUCAAUUAUGUUUGUAAUGUAAAUAUUUUAACCUCGGUCUAAUUAAAGAUAUGAAA
rnacentral:lncRNA from 1 species